AGAGUGAACGCUGGCGGUAGGCCUAACACAUGCAAGUCGAACGGCAGCACGGGAGCAAUCCUGGUGGCGAGUGGCGAACGGGUGAGUAAUACAUCGGAACGUGCCCAAUCGUGGGGGAUAACGCAGCGAAAGCUGUGCUAAUACCGCAUAAGAUCUACGGAUGAAAGCAGGGGAUCGCAAGACCUUGCGCGAAUGGAGCGGCGAUGGCAGAUUAGGUAGUUGGUGAGGUAAAGGCUCACCAAGCCUUCGAUCUGUAGCUGGUCUGAGAGGACGACCAGCCACACUGGACUGAGACACGGCCCAGACUCCGUACGGGAGGCAGCGAGUGGGUAAUUUUGGCGUCAAGUGGG
rnacentral:rRNA from 1 species